CCUACGGGAGGCAGCAGUGGGGAAUAUUGCACAAUGGGGGGAACCCUGAUGCAGCGACGCCGCGUGGGUGAAGGCGUAUUUCGGUAUGUAAAGCCCUAUCAGCAGGGAAGAACAAUGACGGUACCUGACCAAGAAGCACCGGCUAAAUACGUGCCAGCAGCCGCGGGAAAACGGAAGGUGCAAGCGUUAACCGGAUUUACUGGGGGUAAAGGGAGAGCAGGCGGGGAGUUGAGUCUGGUGUGAAAGCCCGCGGCCCAACCGCGGGACUGCAUUGGGAACUGGCGCGCUGGAGUGCCGGAGGGGUAGGCGGAAUUCCUAGUGUAGCGGUGAAAUGCGUAGAUAUUAGGAGGAACACCAGUGGCGAAGGCAGCCUACUGGACGGUAACUGACGCUGAGGCUCGAAAGCGUGGGGAGCGAACAGGAUUAGAUACCCUUGUAGUC
rnacentral:rRNA from 1 species